rnacentral:lncRNA from 1 species
CCUCUCACAAGCAAACUAUAAAUAGCAAGCGACGCUCUGUCUAGGCCUUUCUGCUGUUUGCUGACGGCGCCAUUUUGUUUGUGAGGCGCUUGAUGGUAGUUGGUGCGGUCUUGUUCAUCCGUUGCCAUCCACCCGUAGCCUUGCCGUCUAUUUCUAAGGAGUGACCGCAGGGGCCUCGCCCCACUAUGAGAGCUAAGUGGCGAAAGAAGCGAAUGCGCAGGCUGAAGCGCAAAAGGAGAAAGAUGAGGCAGAGGUCCAAGUAGACAUCAUUCACAGUGCUACUGAAGCUGCAAAACAGCAAUGGAAAGGUGGAGCCUUGGGAAGCCGACUUGCAGAUAAUGCUUUCUCUUUGCUGCUGCUAGAAGACCUAUCUUCAGGAGAUUCCAUUUUCAAGCCUGGGAGCAGUGAUCCUUUGAAGAUGGCAUCCCUGAGCUUUACUAUUCUGGACUGAUCUUGUCCUUGGUGGCUUGAUGUAGCAACUGUAUCAAAUAAAAACCCCUUCUGGGGGGAAUUCUACA